UACGUAGGGUGCAAGCGUUAAUCGGAAUUACUGGGCGUAAAGCGUGCGCAGGCGGUUGUGUAAGACAGAUGUGAAAUCCCCGGGCUCAACCUGGGAACUGCAUUUGUGACUGCACAGCUGGAGUGCGGCAGAGGGGGAUGGAAUUCCGCGUGUAGCAGUGAAAUGCGUAGAUAUGCGGAGGAACACCGAUGGCGAAGGCAAUCCCCUGGGCCUGCACUGACGCUCAUGCACGAAAGUGUGGGGAGCAAACAGG
rnacentral:rRNA from 1 species